rnacentral:sRNA from 1 species
CUGCAUUAGUGAUAGCAGCGACAUCCUUUUUUACUUAAUCAAGUAAAAAAGAUAUAGCGGAUAGCACGCUCAUUU